rnacentral:rRNA from 1 species
CCUCUUUCAGUAGGGAAGAAGCCCCUUUUUGGGGUGACGGUACUUGCAGAAGAAGCGCCGGCUAACUACGUGCCAGCAGCCGCGGUAAUACGUAGGGCGCAAGCGUUAUCCGGAAUUAUUGGGCGUAAAGAGCUCGUAGGCGGUUUGUCGCGUCUGCCGUGAAAGUCCGAGGCUCAACCUCGGAUCUGCGGUGGGUACGGGCAGACUAGAGUGAUGUAGGGGAGACUGGAAUUCCUGGUGUAGCGGUGAAAUGCGCAGAUAUCAGGAGGAACACCGAUGGCGAAGGCAGGUCUCUGGGCAUUUACUGACGCUGAGGAGCGAAAGCAUGGGGAGCGAACAGGAUUAGAUACCCUGGUAGUCCAUGCCGUAAACGUUGGGCACUAGGUGUGGGGGACAUUCCACGUUUUCCGCGCCGUAGCUAACGCAUUAAGUGCCCCGCCUGGGGAGUACGGCCGCAAGGCUAAAACUCAAAGGAAUUGACGGGGGCCCGCACAAGCGGCGGAGCAUGCGGAUUAAUUCGAUGCAACGCGAAGAACCUUACCAAGGCUUGACAUGUUCCAGACCGGGCCAGAGAUGGUCUUUCCCCUUUUGGGGCUGGUUCACAGGUGGUGCAUGGUUGU